ACGGCUCAGUAACACGUGGACAACCUGCCCUUAGGACGGGGAUAAACCCGGGAAACUGGGUAUAAUACCCGAUAGGUCUCGAUUGCUGGAAUGCAUCGAGAUUUAAAGCUCCGGCGCCUAAGGAUGGGUCUGCGGCCUAUCAGGUAGUAGUGGGUGUAGCGUACCUACUAGCCUACGACGGGUACGGGUUGUGAGAGCAAGAGCCCGGAGAUGGAUUCUGAGACACGAAUCCAGGCCCUACGGGGUGCAGCAGGCGCGAAAACUUUACAAUGCUGGCAACAGCGAUAAGGGAACCUCGAGUGCCAGGUUACAAAUCUGGCUGUCGAGAUGCCUAAAAAGCAUUUCAUAGCAAGGGCCGGGCAAGACCGGUGCCAGCCGCCGCGGUAACACCGGCGGCUCGAGUGGUAACCGUUAUUAUUGGGUCUAAAGGGUCUGUAGCCGGCCGGAUAAGUCUCUUGAGAAAUCUGGCAGCUUAACUGUCAGGCUUUCAGGAGAUACUGUCUGGCUCGAGGCCGGGAGAGGUGAGAGGUACUUCAGGGGUAGGGGUGAAAUCUUGCAAUCCUUGAAGGACCACCAGUGGCGAAGGCGUCUCACCAGAACGGACCUGACGGCAAGGGACGAAAGCUAGGGGCACGAACCGGAUUAGAUACCCGGGUAGUCCUAGCCGUAAACGAUACUCGCUAGGUGUCGGCCACGGUGCGACCGUUGUCGGUGCCGUAGGGAAGCCGUGAAGCGAGCCACCUGGGAAGUACGGCCGCAAGGCUGAAACUUAAAGGAAUUGGCGGGGGAG
rnacentral:rRNA from 1 species